UGAGAUGGACCCGCGGCGCAUUAGCUAGUUGGUGGGGUAACGGCCUACCAAGGCGACGAUGCGUAGCCGACCUGAGAGGGUGAUCGGCCACAUUGGGACUGAGACACGGCCCAGACUCCUACGGGAGGCAGCAGUGGGGAAUAUUGCACAAUGGGGGAAACCCUGAUGCAGCAACGCCGCGUGAGUGAUGAAGGUUUUCGGAUCGUAAAGCUCUGUCUUUGGGGAAGAUAAUGACGGUACCCAAGGAGGAAGCCACGGCUAACUACGUGCCAGCAGCCGCGGUAAUACGUAGGUGGCGAGCGUUAUCCGGAUUUACUGGGCGUAAAGGGAGCGUAGGCGGAU
rnacentral:rRNA from 1 species